rnacentral:rRNA from 1 species
UACGUAGGGGGCAAGCGUUACUCGGAAUUACUGGGCGUAAAGGGCAUGUAGGCGGUUUGGUGAGUCUGUUGUGAAAGCUCCCGGCUUAACUGGGAGAGGUCAACAGAUACUGUCGAACUUGAGUAUGGGAGAGGGUACUGGAAUUCCUGGUGUAGCGGUGAAAUGCGCAGAGAUCAGGAGGAACACCGAUGGCGAAAGCAGGUACCUGGACCAUUACUGACGCUCAGGUGCGAAAGCCAGGGGAGCGAACGGG